rnacentral:rRNA from 1 species
ACACGUGAUUCAGAGUUUGAUCCUGGCUCAGAACGAACGCUGGCGGCAGGCCUAACACAUGCAAGUCGAGCGCGCCCUUCGGGGUGAGCGGCGGACGGGUGAGUAACGCGUGGGAACGUGCCCUUUCUACGGAAUAGUCUCGGGAAACUGGGGGUAAUACCGUAUACGCCCUUCGGGGGAAAGAUUUAUCGGAGAAGGAUCGGCCCGCGUUGGAUUAGGUAGUUGGUGGGGUAAUGGCCUACCAAGCCGACGAUCCAUAGCUGGUUUGAGAGGAUGAUCAGCCACACUGGGACUGAGACACGGCCCAG